AAUCGAGAAUUAAUCAAAGACAAUCAAAUGCGAAAAGCGGAAGAACAUUUCAGACUAUUUCCAAAUUGACAGAUUCGGUUGUGAUUUUCAUAUUUGGACUGAAGAUACAACAUUUUUGGGGGGAACUUCCGCGUUGCAGCAGGCGGCGGGCGGCGGGCGGCGGGCGGCAGGCGCAUGAAUAAUGAGUAAACAGAGACCAGACUUUGGCAAUUAAUCUGCCGACAACCGAUCUCUAUCUCCCUCUCACUCCUUGGUUCAAGAACACUUAUUAAGCGUGUUUUAUUGCUAAAUUCAAAUUCAAUUCAAAGGUUAAUAAACAAUGUCGAAUGGCGCACAUGAAAAACGUCAUUUUAUCGCACAAAGAAAGCGCCUGCUAGUGGCAGAUAAAUGAGACAACUCCUCGGGCGGGGGAGGAGAGACUCUUGACGCUGGAUGCUGCUCUUUAUCUGUGAGUGCCCCUCGUUGUGGUAAUUCCUAAAAAGGCCACGCCAAGUGCAUUAAACAAUAAUCAAUGCGACAACUUCGUUGCGCCUCCCUUCGUCCCGUCCGUCUUUCUGCGCGUUGUUUUGAGUAAUAUGCAAAUACUCUUUAAAUACGCAGGCGCAUAAAUUAAAGCAAGGAAAUGCCACAGCAAUGGACAGGCACAGACAGCCACCUCCCCCCCCCCCAGGAUCGGUGCCACCAAGCCCGCCUCCGAAGGGGGUCAAACGCACAAAGAAAUCGCUGAAUCUGAAUCUGACUUAAUUUACAGUAAGCCGACUCGAGAGGAUGACUCUCCCAUCACACUUGGCCUCCAGCACCAGCCCGACUCUGUCCAGGAACCAGCGAAAAUUUCACUUGCCUUUUAUGGCCAAAUGUUAAUUUGUCUUUCGGGCCAUGACUGCUGCUGCUUGGCCAUUAAAUACACGACUGCCUACAAGCCAUUCAAAAGAAAGCGAGUCCAAGGAGUCCCCGCCGCCAUCAACCAACAACAGCUGCGUGGGCAGGACACUCUGACUGGAUGGUCGCUGCCACUGCCACUGACACUCUGGACAUAACCAUGGACUGAUGACUGCUUGGAAAUACCCGUGGAUCGGGGAAGUGAAGAGAUGAUUUACUGGCAAGAAAUUAAGAAACUAGACCUCCACAAAAACGGAAGAACACCUAAAAUACAGUCUCAAGAAAGUGAGACAAUCUAAGAUUGUCAUAUGUAGAAAAUGCACAGAACACAUGAGCACAUUUUGGCAAACAGAGACCAAAACAGAGAUCAAUGUCAAUACAAGCCUACACGGAA